AAACCAACAGGGACGUCCUCAGUAGCGGCGAGCGAAGCGGACGAUGCCCAAACCGAACCGCGGUUCCCGAGGGGCCGCGGAGUGUGGAGAGGAUGAGCUCGCGAGGGGGCGGGACGGGUUCCAAUCCGUCUGGAAGGGCGGAGGCACGGAGGGCGAUUCCCCGUACGUGCUCGGUCCGUCCCCGACGAGCGAACGCAUCGGAGAGUCGGGCCGCUUGAGAGUGCAGCCCGAAUGGGGUGAUAGGUCUCAUCCAAGGCUAAGUACGUGGGAGACGCCGAUAGCGAACAAGUACGGCGACGGAAAGGUGAAAAGAACCUCGAAAGGGGGGUCAAAAGCGCUCGAAAUCGUAGAGGGGGAAGCGGACCUGACCGACGAGACCUCGUCGUCGCUCGCGCUCGACCACGCUUCGUCGCGGAGUUCCGGAGGGCUCGCCCCCCGGAGCCGCGGCGCGCGGGGU
rnacentral:rRNA from 1 species